GGUGAGGUGAAGUAAGGAUGAGGUGAGGUGAAGUAAGGAUGAAGUGAGAUGUAGUAAGGGUGAGGUGAAAUGAAGUAAGAAUGAGGUGAAAUGAAGGAAGGAUGAGGUAAAAUGAAGUGAAGGGGGAGGUGAGAUGGAGUAAGGAUGAGGUGAGGUGAGGUGGAGUAAGGGUGAGGUGAGGGGAAGUAAGGAUCAGGUUAGGUGAAGUAAGGAUGAGGUGAAAUGAAGUGAGGGUGAGGUGGGGUGAAGUAAGGAUGAGGUGAGAUGAAGUAAGGAUGAGUUAAGAUGAAGUAAGGAUGAGGUGAGAUGAAGUAAGGAUGAGGUGAGAUGAAGUAAGGAUAAGGUGAGAUGAAGUAUGGGUGAGUUGAGGUGAAGUAAGUAUGAGGUGAGAUGAAGUAAGGAUGAGGUGAGAUGAAGUUCUUGCCAAAACUGCUAUUUUUGUUAAAACCAGAUAGACAGGAAUAAGGUAAAUAGUAGAAAAUGACAAAACGACAGCCUCAAACCAAACAUGAGAACUUGUGUUGUCUGAGCAAUACUGUCUUACUGUCACUUUUUUAAUUCCAUGGCCUUGCUCUAAGCUCUAUAUAGCUCUUGGAAAAGCCUGCCAGCCACUCUCAUCCCAUGGCCUUGCUCAAAGCUCUAUAUAGCUCUUGGAAAAGCCUGCCAGUCACUCUUUCAUUCCAUGGCCUUGCUCAAAGCUCUAUAUAGCUCUUGGAAAAGCCUGCCAGUCACUCUUUCAUCCCAUGGCCUUGCUCAAAGCUCUGUAUAGCUCUUGUAAAAGCCUGCCAACCACUAUUUCAUCUCAUGGCCUUGCUCUAAGCUCUGUAUAGCUCUUGGAAAAGCCUGCCAGCCACUCUCAUUCCAUCGCCUUGCUCUAAGCUCUAUAUAGCUCUUGGAAAGCCUGCCAGACACUCUUUCAUCCCAUGGCCUUGCUCUAAGCUCUAUAUAGCUCUUGGAAAAGCCAGCCAACCACUAUUUCAUUCCAUGGCCUUGCUCAAAGCUCUAUAUAGCUCUUGGAAAAGCCUGCCAGCCACUCUUUCAUCCCAUGGCCUUGCUCUAAGCUCUAUAUAGCUCUUGGAAAAGCCUGCCAGCCACUCUUUCAUCCCAUGGCCUUGCUCUAAGCUCUAUAUAGCUCUUGGAAAAGUCUGCCAGCCACUCUCAUUCCAUAGCCUUGCUCUAAGCUCUAUAUUGCUCUUGGAAAAGCCUGCCAGCCACUCUUUCAUCCCAUGGCCUUGCUCUAAGCUCUAUAUAGCUCUUGGAAAAGUCUGCCAGCCACUCUCAUUCCAUCGCCUUGCUCUAAGCUCUAUAUUGCUCUUGGAAAGCCUGCCAGACACUCUUUCAUCCCAUGGCCUUGCUCUAAGCUCUAUAUAGCUCUUGGAAAAGCCAGCCAGCCACUCUUUCAUCACAUGGCCUUGCUCUAAGCUCUAUAUAGCUCUUGGAAAAGCCUGCCAGCCACUCUUUCAUCCCAUGGCCUUGCAUAAUAUUCAUAGAGGGUGGACGCUCAUAGUCAAUGCCCUUUUUGAUAAAUUUAUAUCGCCUUAGGCGUAAUAAUCCACUCAGCGCCAGCAUUUUCUAUCUUCACUUCAGGCGAUUCAACCUUGUAUUUUUAAGUGCUCUUUUGUUAUGAAACAUAGCUAAAGCCGCGUGAUUAGCUCUGCGCCCUUGUUUUUGUUUUUCAAUUUUUGGCGUCUUGUUGUCUAAAUCUCAUCAUCCGUUUCCAACUAGACGUCAUUUUUUAUUCAACUUGCUCAUUUGUUGCCUGUUCUGAAGAUGAAAUGCGUAGUUCCUUCUAAAAUUGAAUUAUAUAGUCUCCUAAUUACUUGAAAUGUCGCAUGCCCUGCCGUUUUCAUUUCUGACAAUUACCUCCUGUGCCGAAACAAUUUGUCUUGGUCUGAGUUUGAUAAAGACACGCAUUUUUUUCUAAAAUGUUUCGCAGGUACAAUGCUCAAUUUUCACUGGGUUAGUAAAUUAAGAAUAAAAUUAGCCUUCGAUAUUUCCUUGUAUUUAUUUUUUUAAGUUUCCUAUAAACAUUCCUGUCAUUUCGAUUAUAGCCUACACAAAUUUCAUUAACGUUAUUUUUUGUCCAUCAUUAAAAUUUUACUGAUCGUAGAGGUAACCUUUGGCUAGCUGUAAGGUUUUAUAACUUCGUUUAGGGUUAACACGGUAGAAAAACUACAGACAAGCUGUGGAUGAGAAGGUGGUCUGCGUGGGUGUUAAGGAAAGAACCUUGGGAAUCAUAUCAGCACAGUUUUGAAGUUGUAUGAAAACAAAAAAAUUAGCCCUUUCUCGGAGAAAUAACCCUUGCUUGAUAUUUAACGUUUACUGCAAAAAUUUCUUUUAUCAUAGCACUUGGCAAGUUUUCGUGUUUAUCUGUAACCUAAGUUACUAAAGUACAUUUCUGAUUUUAAGGUGAUUCCUUGGGGAGAAGAUUUUUUCAAAAGGCUGAACAUUGAAAACAGCUUUGCUUCAAGUAAUGUAGUAUUAUGUUUUGUAGGUAAUUCAACGUAAUAAAUGGUUUCCUUGUGUCAUGUUAAUGUUUUCUAAUCCUUCGCUCUUCAAAACAAAGCUUUUCUCCAUCUAGUUUUCUAGGUUUUUAUCUAUUUCUAUGACAGAAUUGAGUCAGUCAAACUGGUGAAUAUUGCGAAAUGUUGGUUGGACUGUCAUCGAGAUCAGCGGUAACCUCCACGUUCUGAGGCGUUAGUUUUAAGAUAUCCAUACGACUAGCACUUUCAUCCUUGCGGCAGAUCUUUCUGCACAGUGAACAGAAACAAAACACGAUAACGCCAACGCAAAUGACCACCAACACACCGAUGAUCCAGUCGAUAAGCGUGUUCCCCGUCGGGUUCUCGACAAACUCCGAACUGUCUCGAGUGGCUUCACGAAUGUUCUCCGAUGAACUCCGAGACUCGUGGGCAAGUACACUUGGAAGACGGAAAAGAUGAAUUGUCAGAAAAGACGCAGGCAAGAACCGAAUUUCGUAUAGCAGUUGAUUAAAUAUUAUCUUGAAUGGCUUCAUCUUCUGAUUAAGGGUCUUCCUCAAGUUAAAUACUUGGUAUCUUCAUGUAAGCCUUUUCAAAAUGAUGUUGAUGGUAACAUAAAAGCAAGCUUGCUUAAAAUUGAAAACUCCAUCUAGGAAAUUGUGAUUGACAAUGGUCUUCGUAUGCUGCCGUCUCUAAACAGUCUUCCGUAGCAGGCGACAGGUUUAUCACUCUCAAAUGUUUCAUAAAUUGUGAGGCUGAAUGACGCCUUCCUGCGUUCCCAUUUAAUCCACCAGCUUUACAGGCUUGCUCAUCUAAUUAAAGCUCCUGCACUUCCUCUUAGGCUCGGUAAGUACGUGCUCUCACGAUUGAUGUUUACCGAUCGCGAGUGGCCACACGGUGUAAUAUGCGAGCUCUAACGGCCCGGUAGGAUUGGAAGAUUGUUAUUUUGUUUUUGUUUUGGUAAAAACUUCCGUCGACUUGCUUUUGCUUUCUUUAUCGUCCUCAGAGUCAAAUAUGAGUCUAGAUAAUGAUAAUCCUCACUCAAUAUUAUCAUGUUAUAAUGUAUAUAUGAAAGAAACUCUUAUCUCAAAUUUAGUGUCUGCUUUCUGUCUUUGGUAGUUUCCUGUGACGUUAUUUGGACCUUGUUAAAAAUACGUAUUUUAAACAUUAUGCCACAUUUGGGUUCCGUGCGAGCAGUUGUGUGCCAUAGAAUGUUUACUUACAUAACUUCCCGUGUUUGUGAGUCGGUAAAGGGUGUUUGCUUGGUACUAUCAUUCUAGGAUUAUACUACACAAAGCAGCCACCUCGUCCCAGGCCUAGCGCGGAUCAGAUCAGUUAUUCUUACGCAGAAAUGAAAUUGGAAUAACAACCUGACAAUUAAGCUGUUAUUACUUAGACAAGCAGAAAUUACGCUUAAUUGAGAUCGUUUUCCCCUUGCUUCCGGCAUUAUUUUCAUUAGUACAUUCAUUUUAAUUAAAUCUUCCUUUCUUUAAUACAUUAUCGUAUUAUAGGAAUAAGCGCUUAGGCAUUUUUUAUCGUGUUGAUUUAUUCUCAAAUAUUUUUAAAAUUUGACCAUAUAUACAUAGAUUUUUUCGCCUUUGUCCACGUUCCAAAACCUGAUGUCUAUCCCGUUACUCGCGUUUUGAUUAGCGACAGAACACAUUCAAUACAGUAGCCAAUCAGCAGAGAUAAACUCUCAACAAAGCGACCAGGUUCUGAAAUCAAAGCGUCAUCUGAAACGUGAGCAAACGCGAAAAAUGUAUCAAGCUCCAGAGAUCCAAAGACAGAGACCAGAGACACAAAUGGUAGAAUUCCCGAAGCACCCUGAAGAUUGUAACGAUAGGCCACUUGAGCUAAGGAUUUUGAAUGGGAAAUUCGCGCAAAAAUAAACCCCAGAAAUAUUCGCUAGAGUACGAAGAAAAUCUAAAAUCUUUCAAUGAAAAUCAGCUCCUUUUUCACACACACAAAAAAAAUUCCGACUGAUACGUAAGCGCUGAAUAAAUUGCAUUUUGUUAUUGUUAUUGGUCACAAAAAGCCUGAUCGCGCAAGAGUUUGCAACCCAAAAAGUCACGUGUUUUUUCAAGUCGCUUAUUACCUAGCCUUGGGCAACCCCUGUUAUUCAGACCACGUGCUACUAUAGUUACAUAAUCAACACUAAAACCGGCUGCUUUAGCUGGAUCUUCAUGAAAUGCCGGAAAAGGGAAAAAGCUUUUCUUACAGUGUUACCUCUCUUAAUAAAGGUUUUUUUAGAACAUGAUGUAGAUAUACAUAUCGAUCCUGAUACACAUAUUUUAAAUACGUUUUCAGUCGAGAAUCCAUGUGUCAGAGCCAGCAGUGGUCCAUGGGUAACGUAAAAAGGGCUGAAUCCUGAUGUCUGAAAACUAUGUGAAUAUUUGCAGGCAAAUGAACAAGAAUACUACAGCUUUGCAAACUUUGACUUGUUCUUAUCUACGCAUAUAUUUGUUUGUAUAUGUUAUAGCCAUGAAGCACUGCGUUCAAUGCGCUGUUUGACCCGUGUAUCCUAGCGACUUGAAUUUGUUGCAGAACACGAAGCGCCAGUUGACCAUUAACUAGUUAACCCAGUUGACCAUUAACUAGUUAAUCCAGUUGACCAUUAACUAGUUAAUCCAGUUGACCAUUAACUAGUUAAUCCAGUUGACCAUUAACUAGUUAAUCCAGUUGACCAUUAACUAGUUAAUCCAGUUAAAGCGCGUAGUCCCUUCCUUUUUUUAAGGGGUUCUAUGUCCCUUGUACUAGCCCCUCCCAAUACAAAACCACUGCGCAAACAGUGCAUUGAAUUGGAAGUAAAUAACGGAGUAUGUGGCGGUUUAUAGGUAGAAUGGUAAAUUUGGAUCAUUACAAAGGUGAGAAAAGUGAAAAUUCGUUCAGUUAUAGCAGAUAUCAAUAGUUUACUAUACAUUUACACAAAUAACCGUUCCGAUUGAAAAUUACAUUUUCAAAUAAAGAUCAUUUAAAAACUGGUCAGGACUAGCGCGAAACUUGCCCCGCCUCCUAAGGCGGAAUAUAAGUAGUGGGGGUGGGGGAUUUUAAUAACGCCUCCACUCCUGACGUAAUUUCGCUGAAAUUUCUCACGUAUAAUGUGUCACAAAUUUAGGAAAUCACGUGACGAGUACUUACCAAUGAACGCUCGCAUAGUAAUCGACCAAUCGUGACUAAUCAAUAAUCCAUAGUUCAUAGUCGGAGUUUUUGAUUUGGCAACUAACAUCUUGAAAACAUUUUUAUGAAAUUAGUGUAAUUGUGUCUCCUGUAAAAGAGACUGCGAAAACGAUUUUUUGACUAAAAGUUCUAGCGACAAAAGUCUUGAGAGGGUAAUUCUCAAUUAGAACAAAGUGUUUCCUCUUGUGUUAUCUGCGGGUAUCUUGUGUUGUUUCCAGCGCCGCAUAACUUUUGUCAGAAACCAAUACAAUUCUAGAUAUGCAGAAGAUUUCAAGGGAUGAAUUCGAAAAACAAAGGCACCGGAGAGCCAGACUUAAAACCACAGAAACAGAGGACAAAAAGUCGACACCCAUCUCUGCAAAUACUCUCCCGAUGAGAUACAAAAUGGACUGAUGAAUGUCGAAUAAUGAGGGGUGUAGCGAGACUGGUUCUGGUGCUAUUAAUGUUUAUUCUUCUAUUUGAUGAAGUGCUAGCUAAGGGAGGCAAGAAAGGAGGAGCGCGAGGUGGGAAAGGUCGAGCGAAACCCAAGAAACUCUGCUGCGGAGCUCUAGGAGGGAUUGACAGCAAAAAGAAAAUGCCGGAUUGGAUGGAAAUACCAGACACGGUAUUUACGACACAGAGCUAGCAGCGAAAGAGUGGAAUCGACUGAUCUCAACCAUGGACACAAUUUGACAAAUGUAUAGCACGACGAAUUGGAGCAUGCUACAAUGACUCGAUGUUAUGUUAUGGCAAGAAAGGAAUACGGAAAGGAAGGAACCAACAAAGUACUUGAUUAGCAUUUGGUGGCAAGGAGAAUGAUAGCGCCGAUUUCCACUCCCGUCGAUUGUAAAUAUUAAUGAAUUGCUGAACAUGAAACAAUGCAGAGAUAUAAAGCGCGCCAAGAUCAUCGUAUAUAAACAGAGUUCCUGAGAUUCUAAAACAAAUGAUAAUGCUAUAAGCAAGGUGGAAUUGAUUAAAAUAACUCGCCAUAUAUUUUCAACACGCUUGUUAUAACUAUUUCGAAACAUUUGUUGCUGUUGUUGUUUUUAAUGGUGAAAACUUGGUGACACAAGGCAGAGAAAUAACCAUUUUUUAUGGCU